rnacentral:rRNA from 1 species
CUUGGUCAUUUAGAGGAAGUAAAAGUCGUAACAAGGUCUCCGUUGGUGAACCAGCGGAGGGAUCAUUACAGAGUUGCAAAACUCCCACAAACCAUCGCGAAUCUUACCCGUACGGUUGCCUCGGCGCUGGCGGUCCGGAAGGCCCUCGGGCCCCCCGGAUCCUCGGGUCUCCCGCUCGCGGGAGGCUGCCCGCCGGAGUGCCGAAACCAAACUCUUGAUAUUUUAUGUCUCUCUGAGUAAACUUUUAAAUAAGUCAAAACUUUCAACAACGGAUCUCUUGGUUCUGGCAUCGAUGAAGAACGCAGCGAAAUGCGAUAAGUAAUGUGAAUUGCAGAAUUCAGUGAAUCAUCGAAUCUUUGAACGCACAUUGCGCCCGCCAGUAUUCUGGCGGGCAUGCCUGUCCGAGCGUCAUUUCAACCAUCAAGCUCUGCUUGCGUUGGGGAUCCGCGGCUGCCCGCGGUCCCUCAAAAAUAGUGGCGGGCUCGCUAGUCACACCGAGCGUAGUAACUCUACAUCGCUAUGGUCGUGCGGCGGGUUCUUGCCGUAAAACCCCCCAAUUUCUAAGGUUGACCUCGGAUCAGGUAGGAAUACCCGCUGAACUUAAGCAUAUCAAUAAGCGGAGGAAAGGGCGAAUUCCACAGUG